GACGAACGCUGGCGGCGUGCUUAACACAUGCAAGUCGAACGAUGAUGCCCAGCUUGCUGGGCGGAUUAGUGGCGAACGGGUGAGUAACACGUGAGUAACCUGCCCCUAACUCUGGGAUAAGCGUUGGAAACGACGUCUAAUACUGGAUAUGAUCGCCGACCGCAUGGUCUGGUGGUGGAAAGAUUUUUUGGUUGGGGAUGGACUCGCGGCCUAUCAGCUUGUUGGUGAGGUAAUGGCUCACCAAGGCGACGACGGGUAGCCGGCCUGAGAGGGUGACCGGCCACACUGGGACUGAGACACGGCCCAGACUCCUACGGGAGGCAGCAGUGGGGAAUAUUGCACAAUGGGCGAAAGCCUGAUGCAGCAACGCCGCGUGAGGGAUGACGGCCUUCGGGUUGUAAACCUCUUUUAGUAGGGAAGAAGCGAAAGUGACGGUACCUGCAGAAAAAGCACCGGCUAACUACGUG
rnacentral:rRNA from 1 species